AACCCUUCAACGAAGCCACUCCAAAAUAAGAUGAGGAGGAAACAAGUUCUUGCUUACCUUCUCUUUGCACUCUUCCUGGUUGCUUCUCGAGGCCAUUACCCCGGCAUCGCCUUCAUGAUUCAGGCUGCGAAAUCCCAUAAUGUUAAACUAUAUGGAGCAAGUACACCAGCAAGAAAUAGUUUAGCUCUAAGACAAAUGCUAGGUACUUGGGGCGAUUCCAGAAAGCUUGUGAAAGGAAAUAGUCACAAAGUUCCAUCAGGACCGAACCCGAUUGGUAACUGGCACCCACCAUCCAUUCAUCCAUGAUUGAGAGGAGGGAGCAGUACUCAUAGAUGGUUUGAUUAGCAAGAACAAAGAAAAUGGAGUUUAUUAUUAUAAUAUGCAGUUCGGGAUUGAAGUUGGUCAGAUAUUAUAUAUUAUGCAUAAUUUUUUUUCCAGUGUCUCAUAUAACUUGCAGAAGAAUGUAUGCUAGGUUAGCUAUAUUUGGUAUUCAUAUUUACAGAUUUGAUCUUAGUAAUUAUUGGUACCUUCUUGGAAUCUAGUUUUUAUUUCCUGAGUUUUUUGUUCCAAUGAUUGUAGAAAUUUGAAAUCUAGAAAUUGAGGAUUUAUUAUAGUCUUUAAUUCAAA